rnacentral:rRNA from 1 species
UCCGUAGGCGGGCAAUUAAGUCAGAGGUGAAAUCCCACAGCUCAACUGUGGAACUGCCUUUGAUACUGGUUGUCUUGAGUUAUAGUGAAGUAGAUAGAAUAUGUAGUGUAGCGGUGAAAUGCAUAGAUAUUACAUAGAAUACCGAUUGCGAAGGCAGUCUACUAACUGUAUACUGACGCUAAUGGACGAAAGCGUGGGGAGCGAACAGGAUUAGACACCCUGGUAGUCC